CGUAGCCAGUCCCUCCGUUCCUCGAGCCCCGCUCCCCUUCCCUGCAACUCGAAGGCGCCGCCUCCUUCCCUCCCUCUCCCCUGCUCUCCACUGUGCCUCCUCCUCCUCCCCUUCGCUUCUUUAUACGGCGGCGGCGGUGGCCUGCAGGCAAAGGGCGACGGCGGCGGCCCUCGAUUUGAUCUGCGUGAGAAAGAGAAGAAGAUAGGGAGAGAGAUAACGGAGGAGAGGAGGGAGAAAGAGAGAGGAAAGAGGAGAUGGAGGUGCCGUGGCGGAUGGGAGAGGGUCACCGGAAGGAGCACCGCUGGCUCGUCGUCAUCGCGCUGGAGGAGAGAUGCCUUUGCACAUCCCUCGCGCCAGCAGGUCGCGGAGGAGGAUCUGCCACCGGAUCCACGCAGUUGAGGGUGAGGAGGAUGGAGGUGACGGAAGCAGCAGCAAGGAUGGUGGCUGGUGAUGGGUUAGGGGCCAACAGAGGAGGGGGGAGGGGGCGACGUCGUGCUUCUUGCCACCUCCACGUCCUCGUCUCGUCGCCCAGUAGUCCGUUGCUCCUUGUCUUGCAACUCCAGCGACAACAGUUCGUCUCCGUGAUCCUUCUGCUCCUCCCGCUUCUCUCCCUCCAUACUAAAUAGCUCACCAAAUUAGUCUGAACAUAUAGCAAGGUAAAAAAAGGCCAUACAUUCUCAUUUUUCUUCACUGUAUUUUUUCUUGUUCAUACCUGCAGAAAAAAACGGUGGCAGUGAUAAUUGAUUAAAGUAUCAUGUUUGCUUAUAUGGAAAUAGGGGAUUUACAUCCGACGAUGUGGGUAGUGGUGGUCUUCUCUGCGCUCUCGUGUUUCAUAAAUUUUCCCCUUGGACACCCACUUAUCUGAAAUAUGUGUCUUACCAAUUUGAUGCUGAUUCACCUGUAGGUUCAGUGAGUAGCGAACAUGUAUAAUGACUACUGUUGAUCUUUGUAUUGCGAGACAAUGCUUUCCAGCUUGAUGAGAUAUGAUCAUUCUUAAAAGGUUGAUCUAUUACAUAUUGAUUGGAAAUGGUGUGCGUGUGCUCUUCUGUGACCACCUGAUGUGAUGUUUAUUUUAGUUUAUUUUUCAUUGCAAUGUCAUUGUAUAUUGGAUAAGGAAGAACUUUUGGAGGCUCUAAUGUUUAUAUUACUUCCCAUUGUGUUGUUUUUGUUUGAGGCUACUACAUGCAGAUGUAGUGAACUCGCUGGUUUUUGUUGAACUAAAAAUUGUAAACAAGUACACUAAAAUAUGCUUGCAUUGAUAACUGUGUUUCCUAUUAGAUUUCUAUUGCACAAAAGGAAGAAAUGUGUUGUCAGAUAAAAUCAUGGCUUGGCGUGGCGGUGACCAUGUUAGUCUGCUUACUGUUCCUACUAUCUACACUCCAUGGAAUACCAGCCCAUUUUUAAACCGGUCCAGAAGUCACGACAAAAUGUAGGCGCUGCAAAUAAUAUCUUUGCAUAUUGCUCGACUCCUUUCUUUGAAUUUUCUGACAGUCGCGUGUCACUGCACUUAAUGUGCACACCUACUGCAAAUUUUUAUUAUCUUAUUCCUUUUAUCUCCUUUUUAUUAGAUGAAUUUAGGUCUGAUAGGCUUCACUUUUCCUAUGUUUGCAUUUAGUUAACUUGUCAUAUAAAAAUGCUGGAAUUAGUUACAGAACUGCAGUAUGAAAGAAGAAGGAUAGCAUGCUAUCCAAGUUUUGUUGUCGAAGGGGAUCAUUGCUCAUGACUCCACUGUAGCAUAAUUAAUAAUUACUCACCCUAUAUCUGCAUGUAGUAGCCUCAAACAUCAACUUUCUUCUUAUGUUUUUUCUCUAGCAUGUUGCUCGCUGGUUUCGAUAUUGAUUUAGGUACAAGUUCUUUAGUUUAGGGCAGGGUCCAACUCUCAGUUACAUAUAUGGACCUUCUGGAUGGCAGUCGUGGUUGUUUGGAUCCGCUUUUAUGUAGGGAGACUGUAUUCCGGUCCUAAAAAGAAUAAAAUUGAAGUAAAAAGGUAUUCUUUGGCUUCUUGGGUUUCUCUUUCUAUGUCUCUAGGGACGGAUCAGAAGGCGUUUCUUUUUCUUUUGGUGUUGCGGAUGCAGCAACCUAUGCACAAAAUGAGGGUACUAGACAACAAUGCACCUUUAGAUGGUACACUGGUGCUGAUGAAUCAAUAUUUUUUGUUAUCUGCUUUAUGCUUCUGAAAGUGUGUGCUAGCUUAUCUAUUAUAUUCAGAGAAUACUAUAUCACACAUGUAGUGCAUAUUGGAUAUUUUCACUUGAUUUGUAUAAUUAAAGUACGACUAUAUUUUCUUAAUUGUUCCUAUUUUUUGACAAUCUUCUGCUUCAGUUUUUUUGUCAGUGCAAAUAUAUCUAUGUAAAUUCUCAUAAAGAUACCGUUCAGUUGUUUACAAUAUGACCCCUCCCAGAGCAAACAAAAUAGCAACACCGGAGACGUUUUAUUAAUUGAAACAGACAUAUUGUAUGAAGAAAUCACCGAUACUUCAACUUAUCAAGAACUAUCUAUGCUUGACAUGGUUUUUGUGGUGCCUGAAGCUGCUACGGCGCCCACGGGUAUUCUUCUCCAGCCCCCUCGCUCCUUCCCCUAUGUAUGAAUCCCAUACAUGGGUUUUGUCACUGCCACUCAACAUAGGCACCGGGGCACAUGAAAAUGAAGAGAAUAAUGCAUCAAUAACAGGAGCCAAAACAAGCAGAGCAGAUCAUGAGCUAAAAGAAAAGAAGUAGAGGCAGCAGCCUAACAAUUAGUCCUCAUUCAAGGUAAUUUACUUACCCCGCUCCCCCUUAUGCAUCAUGAAUGGGUAGAUAUGGUGGUUGCUUAUAGCUUCAUGUAUGGGAUUCUAUUUUUGGCAAGAGCAUGAUAGUACCAUAUCAACUGGGGAUAGUGAAAACAGAAUUGUACCUGAACUGGCGAGAGUUGGCCUUUGUUUUUCUCGUAGUUAAUCUGUUUUUCAUAGCUAUCCCAUGUACAUCGUACAAUCACUGAACUAUCUCGUGUCUUCAAAGUAUGUGUGUCCUACAACAUGCUGUGAUGCUGACAUGCAGUAAUUGCAACCCAUCCCCCCCCCCCCCCCCCCACACACACACACACAAAAACAGUAUUUCUUUGCAAUAUUUGGUUCAUUUGGUAUUCAUAAAUUUAUUAAUGUCCAGUAGGAAGCUAGAUGAAUGCAAUUUGUGUUUUCUUGGGUGACCUCAGUUUCCUAAUAAUAUCUUCACAGCAUCCAGAUUGUCGUCGGUUAACUUGUAUAAAAAGGCUCAUAAACUUUUUGGGAGAACGGAAUUAGUGAAUAUGAAGUUAUAUGAUCGAUUUAUCUACUCCUAUUUUUAUGCUACAUUUGUUGUUCACACGCUGUAACAAGUGCUACUUUUCGGCAUUGUUUCAAAAAGAUUGUGUGCUGCACGAACCAUGAAAUACCAAUGUGUUCAUAUUGCCGCAUGAGAGGAGUAAGUUUGCUGCCUUUGGAUGCCUCUUUACUUUUGUUACUUUUGAAACUCAACGUGAAGAUUUCAGAGGCUUUUUAUGGAUUUGACAGUGGUCAGUGCCAUAUUAGAUAUAACCUCAGGAUCUUUGUUCUUAAGUGAUGCUUCUUGUCAAGCGCAAGAUUUUAUUCUUUUCUAAACGACCUGCUUUAAAGACAUUUUGAGGUGUUUGCCCAGGUAUGAUCAUUAAUAUUCAAUGACAGGUGAACCAUAUAUUUCUUUCAUUUCAUUCCUGCUUUGUUAUCUAGAAACUAAAAGGUCUUGUAUGCAGAUACUAUCAUGCCGUGAAAGUGUGAUAUGUUUACCCCUGUUUUGGAAUGAGUUGUCAAAUCAUUUAAAAUUCUGUAUUACUCUACUGUUCAGCCAAACCUUUAAUCACUAAUGGAUGACGCUUGAUCUUACUUUUGUCUACUAUGUUAUUCUUGGUUCCAAGUACAAAUCCUUACUUUCAGUUCAGUUCCAAGUAGUAUGAUAGAUAUAUGGACGAGUUGGUGAAAAACUGAAAACCAAAAACUACUGUAUGUGUUAAUUAAUCGUCACCAAAUUACCUAUGCCUUUUGAAACAUCGUUUUUUUGUUUGCUUCCAGAAUAAAAUAGACUUACUUAAUUUUAAAUUUGAAAAUUAGACAUAGAGCUAUGAGUCAAUGUACUGGUUUCACAAGUUGCAUUGUCAUAUACACCUGUUCUUUGGAAAUAAAAAACAAUUAGUUGGUUUCAGGUUUGAAUGUCAGGCAAAAAUCGAAUGGGGGAAGGAGCUUGCAGUUCAGAUUCUAAUUGUUAUUUGGUGAUGUUAUUCUUAUUUCUCCUCUUUUAAUAUCCUUUAUAAGGUAUUACUGAAGAUAUAUGGUUUGCCCUAAACAAGCAUAUACAUUAGAAUACACUGGGGGAAUUACGUCCCUGUUUUAUGUUAUUUUUUCUGCUUGCUAUUGUUUGUGAUCGGUAAUAGUUUUCCUUGGCAGUACUUAAUUGUCCCUGUUUUUUCUAUUGUUUCCAUACAUGUUAAUCGGGAGGAACAUAUACAAAGGUUGUGUAGGUAAUGGCUGCAACAGAUUUAAUUGCAUGAUCUUACUGAUGUACACCUAACACAUAUGUACUGUCUACCAAGUGAUUGCUCAUGUGUUGGUUAGGAAGCAUAUGUAGGUUUAGUAGAGAAGAAACUUCCAGAGAAGAAUUUCAGUCAUUUAUAGGGUAGGCAUUUUCAUGAGACAAAUAUUGAUUUUAAUGACAGCUAAUAAUUACACUGCUGCCUUUGUUUCAAAUGUAAAACUUUGCUAUCUUUGGCCUUGCCUCUAGGAAAAAAGACAUCAACUCGAAACUGAAAUACUCCAGAUUUACUUGCUAUCUUUUAGAAGUAAUAUUGUGUUGUUUGUCAAGGUUCACUUGGAAUUGGUUGAGGAAGCCUGACCUGGUGAGGAUCCACCCGAGGAACUGACCUAGUGACGCGAUGCGUAUAGGGGAGGAAACAUAUCGUGUAUGUGAGGGAGUAGGUCUUGCAACUGAAGUCAUCUCUCCGAUGCAGAGGAGUAGAGGCGACGGGGGUGGAACUAUGGAAACUACAGGGUGAGUCAGAGAGUGGAGGAGGGUAUGGAUAAGGUCAAGUCAUCAGCAAGUGAGUAAGUGGAUCAACAUCGUCUGGUCAAGUAACUAAGGCCGGCCGAGUAAACUGAAUUUAUCAUUUGUCUUUUGUAAGCCGACAACACGGUUUAAAUAUGUAUUGGGACAGCUAAAUCCGAUAAAUGAAAGAAUUAUACCGCUUA